rnacentral:rRNA from 1 species
GGUCAAGUUUUUAAGAGCACACGGUGGAUGCCUUGGCAUUAGGAGCCGAAGAAGGACGUAGGAAUCUGCGAUAAGCCUGGGGGAGUCGAUAACCGGACUGUGAUCCCAGGGUGUCCGAAUGGGGAAACCCCGCCAGGGGAGCGAUCUGCCUGGUGACCCGCAUCUGAACACAUAGGGUGCGUGGAGGGAACGCGGGGAAGUGAAACAUCUCAGUACCCGCAGGAAGAGAAAACAAUAGUGAUUCCGUUAGUAGUGGCGAGCGAACGCGGAUCAGGCUAAACCGUUCCAUGUGUGAUAGCCGGCGGGCGUUGCAUGGUCGGGGUUGUGGGACUUUCCAUACUGUCUCUGCCGGGACAGUG